rnacentral:misc_RNA from 1 species
AACGCACAUUGCGCCCUCUGGCAAUCCGGAGGGCAUGCCUGUUCGAGCGUCAUUAUCAUCCCUCAAGCCGUUCGGGCUUGGUGUUGGACCGCCGGCCAAGACCCCCCGGUCUGGCCCGUCCCAAAGCGAACGCACGGCGUCCACGCGGACCCCAGUACCCUGAGCUUUCCGUGAGCACGUACUGGCCGUGGAAGUGUGGGCCCGUCUCGUUGACAGACCUUCUGAAAGUUGACCUCGGAUCAGGUAGGGUUACCCGCUGAACUUAA